AAAUACAGCGAGAUUCGGAUCGUCGUCAAUAUCCUGGCAUCUAGAUUUGGCUUUAGUUAAAAGUGAAGAGUUACACACGGUAGCUUUAAUAAUCAGAUCAUUUCUUGUAUAAUGAAUUACAGUAACUGGCCAGUGUGAUAAUCUCAAUCCCUCUGAUGAGGGUUCUCUGGUAUAUGUCCAUUAAAAUUAUGGAAAUACAGUCAAUUGCCUUUCACGCGUUGCAUUGCAUUGCAUUGCAUUGCGUAGGCACAUCAUGUUCCGAUGCGUAACAAUAUGGCGCCCUCUCCUGUCUCUGUCCAGUCUCUGUUUUGCCCGGCUUUGGGACGUCAUGUAGGACACGAUCUUGACUUGACUGGAGUUGAAUGUCUCUUUGGCAGGGGGGCGGGAUCUCACGAUCGGAGGCUCCCCGCGUGCUUGGGCCAUCCAGCGAUUCACUGACAUUCCCCGGGCUGGCUGUUCGGGAGGUAAAAAAGAGGAAAGUUACUCUGACUUCUUGGACAUACUGCCAACAUGUCUGGGGAUGAAGAGAAACAGGAGCAGACCGUCGCCGAUGACUUGGUGGUUACCAAGUACAAGAUGGGGGCCGAGAUUGCCAACCAGGCCCUAAAGAUGGUGGUUGAGGCGGCAAUGGCCGGCGUGUCGGUGCUCAGCUUGUGUGAAAAAGGAGACGCCUUCAUCAUGACAGAAACUGGGAAAAUCUUCAAGAAGGAGAAAGAAAUGAAGAAAGGUAUUGCCUUUCCAACAUGUGUGUCGGUCAAUAACUGCGUGUGCCAUCACUCCCCGCUUAAGAGCGACCCUGAUGUCAUGCUGAAGGACGGGGACCUCGUUAAAGUUGACCUCGGCGUGCACGUAGAUGGCUUUAUCGCCAACGUGGCUCACAGCUUUGUUGUUGGUGUGACCAAGGAAAAGCCCCUGACAGGCCGCAAGGCCGACGUGAUAAUCGCAGCUCAUCUGUGCGCAGAGGCUGCCCUGCGUCUCGUCAAGCCCGGAAACCAGAACACACAGGUCACGGAAGCUUGGAACAAGAUUGCAAAGUCUUUCAAGUGCUCACCAGUUGAAGGCCUGUUGUCACAUCAGCUUAAACAGCACGUCAUUGAUGGAGAGAAAACUAUCAUUCAAAACCCAACGGACCAGCAAAGGAAGGACCACGAGAAGGCUGAAUUUGAGGUGCAUGAAGUCUAUGCAGUGGAUGUGCUCAUCAGUACUGGAGAGGGGAAGACAAAAGAUGGCGGUCUGAGGACCACGGUUUACAAACGAGAUCCCAACAAGGUGUACGGGUUAAAGAUGAAGACUUCGCGGACUUUCUUCAGUGAGAUGGAGAGACGAUUUGAUAAAAUGGCUUUCACUCUUAGAGCAUUUGACGAUGAGGGUAAGGCCAGGCUGGGCGUGGUGGAGUGUGCCAAGCAUGAGCUGCUGCAGCCAUUCAAUAUUCUUCAGGAGAAGGAGGGGGAAUUUGUAGCUCAGUUCAAGUUCACUGUGCUGCUCAUGGCCAACGGACCACUCCGAAUCACAAACAGCCUCUAUGAACCCGAACUGUAUAAGUCGGAGCAUGAGGUGGGGGACGCUGAGUUGAAGGUUUUGCUUCAAAGCUCAGCCAGUCGAAAGGCGCAGAAGAAAAAGAAAAAGAAGGCCUCAAAGACCGCGGAGAGUGCAACAGGACAGUCAAUGGAGACAGAAGCUGCAGAAUAAAUUUCGCAUCGAGCAAGUAGUGACGCACCCCAAAAACAGACGUCAUAUUUGCUUCUGUUGCAGCUGUCGGAGGGCACUGGUGGCAAAGCAACACCUGUGAAAUCCGACAGAUGUCAGCCUGGGACAGGACUGCUCCUAAAUUCUUUCACCUUAAAACAAACACACUGACCAUAAAUCUCAUCGUCAUUGAGACAGAAUUUGUCUGCAACAUUGGACACAACUCAUCCAGACAAAAAUUCUUACAGGAACGUUAGCCAUUUGACCUUGAGCCUUCAUCCCACUUUGCCACGUGAAAUGAUCCUGUCAAAAAAAAAAAAAAAAUUAAGUCUGACUGAGAUGCCAAGGAUGAAGAAUGGCCAAUGCACUGUCAGUUUGAUAGCCUCCCUGAGAUCUGAAGCCAAUCCAAAGAAAUGGAACUUCAACUUGUGUGGUCAUAAUAUCAUCAGAUUCAUCAAUCUUGAUGUAACUACAAUCACCCAAGUUGUAGUUAAGACACCAACAGUAAGUUAAUGUACUGCUCCAUCUUUGUGUACACCUCUAGGCAUCCAGGAUACUCAGUUGACAAUAUCCAUCACAAGACUGACAGGACGCAUGCUCCAACCUGUCAUAGGUUCUGCGAUCAGUCUUGUGCCUCCAGCAGGGUCAUGAGAGUGCUGCGGCCUAUUCCAGCCAAAAUGGAGACAACACCCUGAACUGGUCAGUUGCAUGGCACAUAUCGACACAGUGACUGAGUGGGAACUGAACCCAUACUACCUGCACCUAAGUCAGGCGAGUGGACCACUACACUAUCAGUGACCCUAAAGAUAAGUUAAUUGAUCUAUGCAAACAUCUGGAAAUAUCAAAUUAAGGUUGCAAUUUAAAUUGCUGAUAGCGCUGAAUGCCUCAUCUGUAUCAGAUUUGAAAAAAAUCCUUCACCACUACAUUUUCACACUUAAGAGAUAAGAGUACUGAAAACCAACUAAUGGAAGGACUUCCUUGAUACAGUUUGCACUUUUGCUUUAGGUAGCAUUCAUCAGACACUUAUUACAAUUCUGUACUUGUGUUCGUGUUUGCUGCCUUUCCAUUUUGGACCAGUGGGUGAGCACAAAUCCCACGUUAUUGUCACUGGACUCAAAUUUUCCUCAGAUAGCGACACUCGAGUGACGUCUUAAAGCGUCGCUUGAUUAUGACGUCAGUUACAAAACUGCCCUUUCUCGCUAGGUACGUGCUAUAAUUUUGUAGAAACCAGAAGCCGAGGGAAUCCCUUUGUUGAUUUGACUUAACUAAACGUGAUCUUUGUCCGACUCUUUUAGCAAUGCGAGCCAAGUGGAGAAAGAAGCGCAUGCGCAGGUUGAAGCGCAAAAGGAGAAAGAUGAGGCAGAGGUCCAAGUAAGCUGUCCGCUGGAAGGCAACUGGGCAGUCUUGAGUUGCCAGAAACCAGAUGGAUUGACUGAGAGUGCUGCAGGGGAGCCCUCAUGUGGAAGUCUUGACAUCAGCCUGUGCCCAAUCGGCUCAGGCAACGCUUGCAGGACUUUUCUUGAUUUUACUGGAUUCUUAGUGUUUGUUCCUUCCGCUUUUUCUUAAAUGAAAAUUAAAGGAUUAGGUGUUAAAACAA